rnacentral:rRNA from 1 species
CAGUCGCCGCGGUAAUACGGAGGGUGCAAGCGUUAUCCGGAUUUAUUGGGUUUAAAGGGUCCGUAGGCGGAUCUGUAAGUCAGUGGUGAAAUCUCACAGCUUAACUGUGAAACUGCCAUUGAUACUGCAGGUCUUAAGUAAAUUUGAAGUGGCUGGAAUAAGUAGUGUAGCGGUGAAAUGCAUAGAUAUUACUUAGAACACCAAUUGCGAAGGCAGGUCACUAAGAUUUAACUGACGCUGAUGGACGAAAGCGUGGGGAGCAAACAGGAUUAGAUACCCGGGUAGUCCCUGUCUCUUAUAC